CCGGGCUUUAGGGGCGCUCCAGACGCUCUUCAGGUCCACGGAGUGCCGACGAGAGCGCGGAGCGGCGCAGCAUCGGCGAACUGAGGAGGCUGCCAGGGGAGAGGCGCGACGGACCAGUAGGGCCCGGGUGUGGUGGUGUUGCCUGUCAGCAUCCUCUGUCAGAUGGAAGAGCUCUCUUUCGCGCUUUUGUAAGAGUGGUCUGCUGUGAUGAAUUCUCUCAGCCUUCGUUUGUCUGGGAGAGGGUUUUAUCUCUCCAUGUUUGAAGGACACUUUUCUCGGGAAAGUCUUUCAGUUAUUUAUACAACUUACUGUCCUGCUCUGUACACCAUCUAUGAACCAGUGAUUCGACUUAAAAGUGAGACAGAAACUCAGCUCUCUCAAAGACCCUUCAGCUCAAAAGAAGCUCAGAGCAUCUUAUUAGAACCUCAUCAUCUAAAGAAUCUCCAGCCUACCGAAUGUAAAACUAUUCAAGGCAUUCUGCAUGAGAUUGGUGGAACUGGUAUACUUGUUUUUCUCUUUGCUAGGGUAAUAAUCCCUGAUUAUAAUUUUAUCUAGAGAGAAACUACUUUAUUAUUGCUAAAGAGUUUCUUUUGGACUACCAAAAAAAAAAAAAAAAAAAAAGCUGCACUCAACUAUAUUAAAUUUUUAGCAUUAAAG